rnacentral:rRNA from 1 species
CCUACGGGAGGCAGCAGUGAGGAAUAUUGGUCAAUGGACGAGAGUCUGAACCAGCCAAGUCGCGUGAAGGAUGACUGCCCUAUGGGUUGUAAACUUCUUUUAUAUGGGAAUAAAAUGUUCCACGUGUGGGAUUUUGUAUGUACCAUAUGAAUAAGGAUCGGCUAAAUCCGUGCCAGCAGCCGUGGUAAUACCGAGGGUCGGAGCGUUAUCCGGAUUUAUUGGGUUUUAAGGGAGCGUAGGUGGAUUGUUAAGUCAGUUGUGAAAGUUUCGGGCUCAACCGUAAAAUUGCAGUUGAAACUGGCAGUCUUGAGUGCGGUAGAGGUAGGCGGAAUGCGGGGUGUAGCGGUGAAAUGCUUAGAUAUCACGAAGAACUCCGAUUGCGAAGGCAGUUCACUGGACUGCAACUGACACUGAGGCUCGAAAGUGUGGGUAUCAAACAGGAUUAGAUACCCCUGUAGUC